UGCUUUGCUAAUGUGCUGAUCCGCAC
rnacentral:piRNA from 1 species